UGCGGUAUUUUAACUGUACUAAGGUAGCAUAAUAAUUUGCCUUAUAAUUUGAGGCUAGAAUGAAUGGUUUGACGAAGGUUAAUCUGUCUCUACUUUAUUUUUUAGAAAUUAAUUUUCAUAGUGAAAAAGCUUGUAUUUUUUAAGGGGACGAGAAGACCCUAUUGAGCUUAUAAUUUUAUUAUUAUCUACUAUACAUAUAUGGGUGAUAUAUAAAUUUUAAUUGGGGUGAUUAAGGAAUAAAUUAUUAAUUAAAUAACUUCCUUAGGGUAUAUAUUGUUAGGUGAAGUAACCAAUAUUAUUGCUUAUAAGAUAGUUACCAUAGGGAUAACAGCGUAAUUUGUUUAGAGAGUUCUUAUUGAAAAAUGAGAUUGCGACCUCGAUGUUGGAUUAAAGUAACCUUAAGGUGUAGAAGCUU
rnacentral:rRNA from 1 species